UUUUCAACAUGUAUGUGUAACUGGGUCUAUAUUAAUAGUUUUAUAUUUCCACAAAAUGUGUUCUUUUAUGUAUUUGUCUGCUUCUACUUGACUGUUGCUGUGAUCCUCUGUGUCUACUAUAAGAGGUUUGGUCCUUCAACUCCGCCUUAUUUUCUUCUUCUUUUGUUCAGGGCUAUUCCAGGA